rnacentral:tRNA from 1 species
GAGCCGGUGGUGUAAGGCGCAGCAUCACUGCCCGGGGAGCAGAAGGUGCAGGUUCGAGUCCAGCCUGGCGCA